rnacentral:rRNA from 1 species
UACGAAGGGGGCUAGCGUUGCUCGGAAUCACUGGGCGUAAAGCGCACGUAGGCGGAUCUUUAAGUCAGGGGUGAAAUCCUGGAGCUCAACUCCAGAACUGCCCUUGAUACUGGGGAUCUUGAGUCCGGAAGAGGUGAGUGGAACUCCGAGUGUAGAGGUGAAAUUCGUAGAUAUUCGGAAGAACACCAGUGGCGAAGGCGGCUCACUGGUCCGGUACUGACGCUGAGGUGCGAAAGCGUGGGGAGCAACA